UCAGAACUAUUCGACUGCUUC
ensembl:piRNA 21ur-4152 ncRNA